CGCCACCUGCAGCUCAGAGGGCAGGAGGGAGAGAGAGGCGGAGCGGUUCCCAUCCCGUCGCCUGUCGCCUUCGGGAAGCAGCCGCGGGUGGCAGCGGGCGAUGGGCGCGGGUGGGAGGGAGGGAGCGGCCGCCACCCCCGCCCGCCCCUCUGCCCGCGGGCUGGGGGCGAUAGCGCCGUGCCCACCCCGCGGCCACCCGGGAUGCGCCGCGGGCGAGCCCGGCUGCCCCGGGGCAAGUUGAAGGCUGGGUCCCCACGGGCCGCUCGGCCGGCUGCGAGGGGGCGGGCGGCGCCGGGCGCCCGAGGAGGAGCCCGAGCAUCCCGGCGCCGGGGACAGCCGGAGAACGGGCGGAGAGGCUUCAUGGGCUGCUCACGCCAACAUGGUGCUCGCCCUCAACGGCAGCCACCUCUACGGUAACCUGCGGCCCCUGGUCCUGGAGGAGCCGCGGGCGCUGAGCGGCGGCAGGAUGAUCGCCGGCUCCUGGCCCCCGCGCAGCCUGGCGAAGCUCGGCCCGUCGCCCCCCCCGUCGGCGCUGCCCACGGCGAGCCCCCUCCCCGCCAACGACUCGCAGUGCGGGGAGCAGAUCCUCAGCUACGGCAGCGCGGAGAAAGUUCUCAUCGGGGCCGUGCUCUGCCUCAUCACCCUGCUGACCAUCGCCGGCAACUGCCUGGUGGUGAUCUCCGUCUGCUUCGUGAAGAAGCUGCGGCAGCCCUCCAACUAUCUCAUCGUCUCGCUGGCCCUGGCCGAUCUCUCGGUGGCCCUGGCCGUCAUGCCCUUCGUCAGCGUCACCGACCUUAUCGGCGGGGAGUGGAUCUUCGGGCGCCUCUUCUGCAACGUCUUCAUCGCCAUGGAUGUCAUGUGCUGCACGGCCUCCAUCAUGACCCUCUGUGUGAUAAGUAUCGACAGGUACCUGGGAAUAACAAGACCCCUUACGUACCCUGUAAGGCAGAAUGGGAGGUGUAUGGCCAAAAUGAUCCUGUGUGUCUGGCUUCUGUCUGCCUCCAUCACCUUACCCCCGCUCUUCGGCUGGGCCCAGAACGUGAAUGACGAAAAGGUUUGUCUCAUCAGUCAAGACUUUGGCUACACCAUUUACUCCACAGCAGUUGCGUUUUAUAUUCCAAUGUCAGUGAUGCUUUUCAUGUACUAUCAGAUUUAUAAAGCUGCCAGGAGGAGUGCUGCUAAACACAAGUUUACUGGUUUUCCCCGUCUGGAAGAAAUGGAAGGGAUUUCUGUGAAUGGACUUGUAAAAAUGCACAAGGAAUCUGAAGAAUGUACUAAUUUUUCACGACUCCUAAAGCACGACAAGAGAAACAUUUCCAUCUUUAAAAGAGAACAGAAAGCUGCCACCACCCUUGGGAUUAUUGUUGGGGCAUUCACAGUCUGCUGGCUGCCCUUUUUCCUCCUCUCAACUGCAAGGCCCUUCAUCUGUGGUACAGCGUGCAGUUGCAUCCCACUCUGGGUGGAGAGAACAUUUCUGUGGCUGGGCUAUGCAAACUCUCUCAUUAACCCUUUUAUCUAUGCCUUCUUCAACCGGGACCUGAGGACAACCUAUCGCAACCUGCUGCAAUGCAGAUACAGGAACAUCAACCGCAAGCUCUCGGCCGCAGGCAUGCACGAGGCUCUGAAGCUUGCAGAAAAGCCAGAAUUCGUUCUGUAAGGUCACUCAUCCUCUACUGUCAUCAUUUGUUGUUUUAUCACAUUGGCUUUUCCCCCACAGGUUCGAAAGAAGUGUUGUAGGAAGAACCAGUUGAGCACAGUUAAUGCAGUCAUCGGGAAACAAGGUAGAGCCCACCAGACCUAAUCAGCCUGGAAAAACAAGACCACCUUCUAAAGAAUUUGGGUGUAAGAGGUAUAUAAAAAAGGAUGGAAGUGAAAUGUAGCACAGGAUGUUUGACCUGUAAGUGAGGAAAAAGCAAAGUUGGCCUAACCUAUUUGUUUGGCCCAAAAAAUGUUUAGUAGGUCUGAAUGUUGGAUGCGCCUUGUGUCCCAGAGAUUCUUUGCUGUAAUAAAGACCUGAGAAUGGUGGAAAGUUAAUUUCCUUCUACUUCAGUAUGACAAAAAUAAAUCAUUAAAGAAGAAGCUGAAUCAAAGAACUUCUAUUCCUUAGAAAUAUUCUUUAUUAUAAAACCCCAUAUGUUCAUUAAACAUUAAUUUACUGGAUUGCCUGGAAAUGAACUAUGUUGUGAAAUUUGUGAAUAUUGCCUUUGCACAGCAACUCUGGCACUGAAAGAAAAUAUUACAUUUCCAAUGUGAUUAAAAAAGUUUGAGUAAAGUCACAUGGACCAGCAUCUGCUGCUGCAUACAGCCCUGCAGCACAGUUAGCUGCAGUGCUGCUGUGCAAACCACACCAGGAGAAGUUCUGAUUUCUCCAGGGAAAAAGAGUCAUGACCAAAUGUGCUUCAAAGCAGCCAGAAAAAGUCAAGCCAGACCAGGGAGAAGAAAAAUGAAGAAUUGGCUUCUGAAGAACUGGAUAGAUUUAUAAAAUGUACUUCAUCUUCCUUUGAUGGGAGUGUGCUAAAAAUAUUCCGUGAGCUCAAUAGAUUACAUUGGAUACAAUUCUAUUGGAAGUACUCACAUCUUGUUUGUUAUGGAGGAAAAUGCUGUUACAUACAAAUGAAAAUAGCUUUCUGCCUGAGAAAGCCAAAUAAUUUCAGCAAUAAGUUUGACAUGGGGUGGAGGGAAUGACACUAAAACUUAAAAAUAAAGACUUGUACAGAUUUCCACCACAUUUAACUAUGUAGAAGAACAUUUGUAUGUUUACCAUGCUUGUGGAUCCCAGUAAUGGUAUUCAUAUUCAGGGACUGUCAGUGAUACUGAAUGUAUUUUGCUGUACUAAAAAAGAGAGGUUUUCAGGCAAAUGCUGUCUCUGUGGAUGCUUUCAGAGCUUGUGUUAAAGAGAUGCUGUACACCUGCAAUGGGAUUGAGAAUGACAACAAUAAAAAACCAAUUUUUGUUAAAGAUUUUUGUUGCAUUAAGUAAAUGUCUGUUACUUGUUACAUACAUGUGGUUGGUUCUCCCAAACUUUUUUAAAAAGCUGCUUUCAGUUAUGCAGUGAGGAAAGUUAAGGGACAAAAUUAGAAUGCACAUGUAUUACACCACAGCUAAUUUACAAAUAUGAUUGCUUUGCUUUAAUGUAAUUUUCAUGACCUGCCAAUUUAUAAAUUUCUGUCACUUCAAUUCAAAUAUGUAUAAAAGGCUGGAGAAUUUCCACAGCACUUUGCUUUUUGUCUUACUGGCUAGCUAGAGAGAGAAUUAAUUUUUUUUCUGAAAAUGUGUUUAAGAAAUGUUAUUUCUGCCAGUGGUUUGUUAUAAUUAAAACAGAUCCCUUUGGCUUGA